UAGGACGGUAAUUAUUUGGGUCAUUUUUGUUGCCUCCUUUGAAUAAAACGGUAACGCGCGCGACUUUUAAUUUGCUAGGGAAUACACCAGAAAGAAGCAUUCUGUUACAAAUAUGCGUAAGAGGGCCAGCAAUAAUAUUUACAGCACAUUUGAUAGGAAAAGCAGCAACUUCGUCAUCUCCAGCGUCCAUUUUGGCUUAGGUCGACUAGGUGACGCCCAUUACGGUGAGCUGACCUUCAAUGAAUGUAAUGACACCUCGGCCAUUUACACUUUUCGGCUAAAUAUUAUGGAGAAUAGUGGACUUGCUUUUUGGAAAUCAACCAUGCUACAAUCACGCUUGUUUGAGAAGGGCAGUUCAACAGGAGGCGUUUAUUUUGUGAUGAAUAAUGUGAAGCCCAUACGUGUUUACGUCGAAACUAUGGGCUAUACAUGGUAGCGAAGUACCCGCUCUGACGUGGCUCAUCGAUUGGCUCAGCGAGUGGCUCUGACGUGGCUUAUCUCAUCGAUUGCACUGUUCCUAAACAGCUGCUUAAACGGAUGUUGUUCCAGUUGCAUCACCUGAUUACAAAUAAAACGUCACUUCAUAUCCCUUUC